rnacentral:rRNA from 1 species
CGGGUACUUGCCGUUCAGUAGGGCCAAUUACCGCUUGAAGUUACCCGCCGGGGAAUUCCGGCCUAACUAUUAAACUCCAAAGGAUUUAAUGGAUAUGGCGCGAACUUGAUCCGAAAUUAUUGGGCGUAAAGAGCUCGUAGGCGGUUUGUCGCGUCUGCCGUGAAAGUCCGGGGCUCAACUCCGGAUCUGCGGUGGGUACGGGCAGACUAGAGUGAUGUAGGGGAGACUGGAAUUCCUGGUGUAGCGGUGAAAUGCGCAGAUAUCAGGAGGAACACCGAUGGCGAAGGCAGGUCUCUGGGCAUUAACUGACGCUGAGGAGCGAAAGCAUGGGGAGCGAACAGGAUUAGAUACCCUGGUAGUCCAUGCCGUAAACGUUGGGCACUAGGUGUGGGGGACAUUCCACGUUUUCCGCGCCGUAGCUAACGCAUUAAGUGCCCCGCCUGGGGGAGUACGGCCGCAAGGCUAAAACUCAAA